GAUGAACGCUGGCGGCGUGCCUAAUACAUGCAAGUCGAGCGAACGGACGAGAAGCUUGCUUCUCUGAUGUUAGCGGCGGACGGGUGAGUAACACGUGGAUAACCUACCUAUAAGACUGGGAUAACUUCGGGAAACCGUAGCUAAUACCGGAUAAUAUUUUGAACCGCAUGGUUCAAAAGUGAAAGACGGUCUUGCUGUCACUUAUAGAUGGAUCCGCGCUGCAUUAGCUAGUUGGUAAGGUAACGGCUUACCAAGGCAACGAUGCAUAGCCGACCUGACAGGGUGAUCGGCGACACUGGGACUGAGACGCGGUACAGACUCCUACGGGAGGCAGCAGUAGGGAAUCUUCCGAAAUGGGCGAAAUCCUGACGGAGCAACGCAGCGUGAGUGAUGAAGGUCUUCGGAUCGUAAAACUCUGUUAUUAGGGAAGAACAUAUGUGUAAGUAACUGUGCACAUCUUGACGGUACCUAAUCAGAAAGCCACGGCUAACUACGUG
rnacentral:rRNA from 1 species